GUGAGGAAUUUUCCGCAAUGGGCGAAAGCCUGACGGAGCAAUGCCGCGUGAAGGAUGAAGGCCUAUGGGUUGUAAACUUCUUUUCUCAGAAAAGAAUUAUGACGGUAUCUGAGGAAUAAGCAUCGGCUAACUCUGUGCCAGCAGCCGCGGUAAGACAGAGGAUGCAAGCGUUAUCCGGAAUGAUUGGGCGUAAAUCGUCUGUAGGUUGUUUAAAAAGUAUUCUGUCAAAGAUUAGGGCUUAACCCUAGAUAGGCAGAAUAAACUUUUAAGCUAGAGUGUGGUAGAGGCAGAGGGAAUUCCCGGUUGAGCGGUGAAAUGCGUAGAUAUCGGGAGGAACGCCAAAGGCGAAGGCACUCUGCUGGGCCAAUACUAACACUGAGAGACGAAAGCGAGGGGAGCAAAUGGGAUUAGAAACCCGGGUAGUCC
rnacentral:rRNA from 1 species